rnacentral:rRNA from 1 species
GGUCAAGCUACAAAGGGCGCAUGGUGAAUGCCUUGGCAUCAGGAGCCGAUGAAGGACGUGAUAAGCUGCGAUAAGCUUCGGGUAGGCGCACAUAGCCUGAGAUCCGAAGAUCUCCGAAUGAGGAAACUCACAUGGGAAACCCCAUGUAUCAUUAAGUGAAUACAUAGCUUAAUGAAGGUAACCCAGGGAACUGAAACAUCUAAGUACCUGGAGGAAGAGAAAGAAAAAUCGAUUUUCUUAGUAGCGGCGAGCGAAAGGGAAAGAGCCCAAACCGGAAACUUGUUUCCGGGGUUGUGGACAUAACAUAAAAGUGGAGGCUAUUGUAACUGAAGAGAACUGGAAAGUUCCACCGUAGAAGGUAAUAGUCCUGUAAGUGAAACGAGAAGACCACGAGUUAUGAUCCAGAGUACCACGAGACACGUGAAACCUUGUGGGAAGCAGGGAGGACCACCUCCCAAGGCUAAAUACUACCUGAUGACCGAUAGUGAAGCAGUACCGUGAGGGAAAGGUGAAAAGAACCCCGGGAGGGGAGUGAAAUAGAACCUGAAACCGUGUGCCUACAACCGCUCAGAGCCCCUUAUGAGGGUGAUGAGGUGCUUUUUGUAGAACGAGCCAACGAGUUACGGUAUGUAGCAAGGUUAAGUACUUAAGGUACGGAGCCGAAGGGAAACCGAGUCUGAAUAGGGCGACUAGUUGCAUGCCGUAGACCCGAAACCGGGUGACCUAUCCAUGGCCAGGUUGAAGCGAGGGUAAAACCUCGUGGAGGACCGAACCACGUUGCUGUUGAAAAAGCAUGGGAUGAGCUGUGGAUAGCGGAGAAAUUCCAAUCGAACCCGGAGAUAGCUGGUUCUCUCCGAAAUAGCUUUAGGGCUAGCGUCGAGUAUGAGUAGUGGAGGUAGAGCACUGAAUGGGCUAGGGGGCAUAGCGCUUACCGAACCUUAUCAAACUCCGAAUGCCACAUACUUUGAGCUCGGCAGUCAGACUCCGAAUGAUAAGAUCCGUGGUCAAAAGGGAAACAGCCCAGAUCGUCAGCUAAGGUCCCAAAGUGUAAGUUAAGUGGGAAAGGAUGUGAGAUUUCUAAGACAACUAGGAUGUUGGCUUAGAAGCAGCCAUUCAUUAAAAGAGUGCGUAAUAGCUCACUAGUCGAGAGAUCUUGCGCCGAAAAUGUAACGGGGCUAAACUUACCACCGAAGCUACGGGCUUGAACUUAGUUCAAGCGGUAGGAGAGCGUCGUAACCGGGCUGAAGUCGUACCGUAAGGAGCGGUGGACUGGUUACGAGUGAGAAUGUUGGCAUCAGUAGCGAGAUGUGGGUGAGAAUCCCACAGGCCGAAAACCUAAGGUUUCCUCAGGAAGGUUCGUCCGCUGAGGGUUAGUCGGGACCUAAGCCGAGGCCGAAAGGCGUAGGUGAUGGACAACUGGUUGAUAUUCCAGUACCACUACCAUCGUUAUUAUCGAUGGAGUGACGCAGGAGGAUAGUGUGUGCUAGCUAUUGGAUGCUAGUCUAAGCGUUUAGGCAGUGAGAGUAGGCAAAUCCGCUCUCAUAAUGCUGAGGCGUGAUGGGGAAGGUUCCACGGAACCGAAGUACAUGAUUCCACGCUGCCAAGAAAAGCGUCUAGAGAGAGAAGUAGUGCCCGUACCGCAAACCGACACAGGUAGGUGAGGAGAGAAUCCUAAGGCCGGCGGAAGAAUUACAGUUAAGGAACUCGGCAAAUUGACCCCGUAAGUUCGCGAGAAGGGGUGCCUACGAGAGUAGGCCGCAGAGAAUAGGCCCAAGCAACUGUUUAGCAAAAACACAGGUCUCUGCUAAAGCGUAAGCUGAUGUAUAGGGGCUGACGCCUGCCCGGUGCUGGAAGGUUAAGGGGAACACUUAGCGCAAGCGAAGGUGUGAACUUAAGCCCCAGUAAACGGCGGCCGUAACUAUAACGGUCCUAAGGUAGCGAAAUUCCUUGUCAGGUAAGUUCUGACCCGCACGAAUGGCGUAAUGACUUGGGCACUGUCUCAACUGUAAAUCCGGCGAAGUUGUAGUGCGAGUGAAGAUGCUCGCUACCCGCGAUUGGACGGAAAGACCCCGUAGAGCUUUACUGUAGCUUAGCAUUGAGUUUUGGUAUUGUCUGUACAGGAUAGGUGGGAGACUAGGAAACCAGGGCGUCAGCCUUGGUGGAGUCAACCUUGGGAUACCACCCUGACAGUACUGAAAUUCUAACUGGCGGCCAUGAAUCUGGUCACAGGACAUUGUUAGGUGGGCAGUUUGACUGGGGCGGUCGCCUCCUAAAAAGUAACGGAGGCGCCCAAAGGUUCCCUCAGAACGGUCGGAAAUCGUUCGAAGAGUGCAAAGGCAGAAGGGAGCCUGACUGCGACACCCACAAGUGGAGCAGGGACGAAAGUCGGGCUUAGUGAUCCGGUGGUACCUCGUGGGAGGGCCAUCGCUCAACGGAUAAAAGCUACCUCGGGGAUAACAGGCUGAUCUCCCCCAAGAGUCCACAUCGACGGGGAGGUUUGGCACCUCGAUGUCGGCUCGUCGCAUCCUGGGGCUGAAGUAGGUCCCAAGGGUUGGGCUGUUCGCCCAUUAAAGCGGCACGCGAGCUGGGUUCAGAACGUCGUGAGACAGUUCGGUCCCUAUCCGUCGCGGGCGUAGGAAAUUUGAGAGGAGCUGUCCUUAGUACGAGAGGACCGGGAUGGACUGACCUCUGGUGUACCAGUUGUUCCGCCAGGAGCACAGCUGGGUAGCUAAGUCGGGAAUGGAUAAACGCUGAAAGCAUCUAAGCGUGAAGCCAACCUCAAGAUGAGAUUUCCCAUAGCAUAAGCUAGUAAGAUCCCUUGAAGAACACAAGGUUGAUAGGUCGGGGGUGUAAGCAUGGUAACAUGUUCAGCUGACCGAUACUAAUAGAUCGAGGGCUUGACCAA